UACGUAGGGUGCGAGCGUUAAUCGGAAUUACUGAGCGUAAAGCGUGCGCAGGCGGUGAUGUAAGACCGAUGUGAAAUCCCCGGGCUUAACCUGGGAACUGCAUUGGUGACUGCAUUGCUGGAGUAUGGCAGAGGUGGGUGGAAUUCCACGUGUAGCAGUGAAAUGCGUAGAGAUGUGGAGGAACACCGAUGGCGAAGGCAGCCCCCUGGGCCAAUACUGACGCUCAUGCACGAAAGCGUGGGGAGCAAACAGG
rnacentral:rRNA from 1 species